rnacentral:rRNA from 1 species
UAGUAACGGCGAGUGAAGCGGCAACAGCUCAAAUUUGAAAUCUGGCGCAAGCCCGAGUUGUAAUUUGUAGAGGAUGCUUCUGGGUAGCGACCGAUCUAAGUUCCUUGGAACAGGACGUCAUAGAGGGUGAGAAUCCCGUAUGUGACCGGCCCGCACCCUUUACGUAGCUCCUUCGACGAGUCGAGUUGUUUGGGAAUGCAGCUCUAAAUGGGAGGUAAAUUUCUUCUAAAGCUAAAUACCGGCCAGAGACCGAUAGCGCACAAGUAGAGUGAUCGAAAGAUGAAAAGUACUUUGGAAAGAGAGUUAAAAAGCACGUGAAAUUGUUGAAAGGGAAGCGCCUGCAACCAGACUUCGCGGCAGUGUUCCGCCGGUCUUCUGACCGGUUCAUUCUCUGUCGCGAGGCCAUCAUCGUCUGGGCCCGCCGGAUAAGACCUGAGGAAUGUGGCUCCCCCUCGGGGGAGUGUUAUAGCCUCUGGUGAUGCGGCGUGGCUCGGGCGAGGUCCGCGCUUCGGCAAGGAUGAUGGCGUAAUGGUUGUCGGCGGCCCGUCUUGAAACACGGACCAAGGAGUCUAACAUCUAUGCGAGUGUUCGGGUGUCAAACCCCUACGCGUAAUGAAAGUGAACGGAGGUGGGAACCGCAAGGUGCACCAUCGACCGAUCCUGAUGUCCUCGGAUGGAUUUGAGUAAGAGCAUAGCUGUUGGGACCCGAAAGAUGGUGAACUAUGCCUGAAUAGGGUGAAGCCAGAGGAAACUCUGGUGGAGGCUCGCAGCGGUUCUGACGUGCAAAUCGAUCGUCAA